GGUAAGGUGGCUGAGUAGGCGGUAAAUUGUAAAUUUACUUACAAGAGGUUAGAUCUUCCUUAUCA
rnacentral:tRNA from 1 species